GUAAUUUGAAGAUUGUAACCUUGGGGUUGGCUCUYGUCUAUGUUUCUUGGAACAGGACGUCACAGAGGGUGAGAAUCCCGUGCGAUGAGAUGCCCAAUCCUAUGUAAGGUGCUUUCGAAGAGUCGAGUUGUUUGGGAAUGCAGCUCUAAGUGGGUGGUAAAUUCCAUCUAAAGCUAAAUAUUGGCGAGAGACCGAUAGCGAACAAGUACAKUGAYGGAAAGAUGAAAAGAACUUUGAAAAGAGAGYGAAAAAGUACGYGAAAUUGUUGAAAGGGAAGGGUUUGAGAUCAGACUCGAUAUUUUGUGAGCCUUGCCUUCGUGGCGGGGUGACCCGCAGCUUAUCGGGCCAGCAUCGGUUUGGGCGGUAGGAUAAUGGCGUAGGAAUGUGACUUUGCUUCGGUGAAGUGUUAUAGCCUGCGUUGAUGCUGCCUGCCUAGACCGAGGACUGCGAUUUUAUCAAGGAUGCUGGCAUA
rnacentral:rRNA from 1 species